rnacentral:lncRNA from 1 species
AUGAUGAUGAACUCCCUGAGCUUUUGUCAGAGAAAGUAUCACUCCUUCAUUUUUGUAGACCAACUUUUCUGGAAACUGCUCAUUCAAUGACUAAUCGAUUUAAUGCCAUGUUGAAAGUAUUUGAAAACCAGGCAAAUAUGUUGGAGAGGAGGAAAAAAAAGCCUAUUUAAUGAACUCAGAAAAAAUGAAGACAAAAGAAACAUAAAAUGAACAUAUGGCCUUUUCCAUGAUACAUGCUGUUAUUUUACCUGUCUUCUAUUACUCAUGUGUUAUUCAUCUUUCUUCCAGAUUUGCAUAUUUCUCCAUUUAUACAUAGGGAAUUGGGAACUUUUAGAAGUUUUUCCCUGUCUCUGAUGGAUUGGACAAUGUUUGCAAUUCUAGGAGACAUCUGAUUAUUCUUUCAAAAUAAAUUUAUCAGAAGGA